rnacentral:misc_RNA from 1 species
GUUAAUAUAUAUAUAAAAAAAAAAGGAGACCACAAACAAAUGAUUCCAGGAUUUCAUUCCUAUUGUAGUAUUUUAUCAGGCAAUUAAACUUGUUAACAGGUAAAACUGACAAUAAGUGAUUGAAUAUAUAUUUUUAUCACUAAUCACAAUUAACACUUCACAGAAUGUCACUUAUUCCAACAUAAUCCCCAGGAAAAAAAAUUACACCGUCAAAUUGAUAAAUUGCAUCACAUUCCAUAAAUUAGGUUUUAAGUGACAAAAGGAUAGCCAUAAUAUUGCUAUUUCACAUUAACUCAACAUUUUCUUAGUAAUCAACAACCCUAAUUCCUAAUUUCUGUCUCUUUUCUUUUUUCCUAAAUUCAAUCAACUGGAUAAAAUUUUGCUAAAAACACAAUUUAGGUUUCACAGAGCACAAUCAUGAGAAGUCAAACAAAAACUGCAAAUCAUUGAUAUGAUAUCCCACUAACACUUAGCAACCAAACCCAGGGAAAACCCGUACAUAAGCCACAGAAGGAAAAUGAUUAGGGUUUCAAAAAGCAUAAAUCAUUGGACAACAAUAAUGAAUCACCAUCACUCAUCCAUCUACUACAAUUUUUCAGACAAAAACCCGCUCCAAAAACCCUAACUAAUGCAUAUAAAGAAGAAAACUAGGGUUUCAAAUCACAUAAUCGUAAUGCACAAAACACAAAAUUCCAAUCAUUCAACAAUUGCGCCAAGUUAUUCGUAGCAACCAAACCAAUAAAAACCACAAUUCUACAGACAAAACAAAUAAAUAUCAGUUUUUGAAGAAACUAGGGUCCCAAAAUUGAACUCGUCUAGAACAUCGAAAAACACAAAGCUAU